GAGCAUCGCCGGUUCUCAGGGAGGGCGCGGUAGGCGGAGCCAGCAGAGUCCGUCACCGCUGCGGUCGCGUCACUGCCGAGGGGGCGGGCCCCGGGCGGCGUUGGGGUCACGGAGGCUGCUGCUGCUCCCGCCCUCCCGUCGGGCCCCCGCAUCGACUCACAGUCUCCCGCUUUGCGUUUCUCUCCCGGCUGCAUCCGGACGAAGAUGGCAACCGAUGGGCUGCACGAGAACGAGACGCUGGCGUCGCUGAAGAGCGAGGCCGAGAGCCUCAAGGGCAAGCUAGAGGAGGAGCGGGCAAAGCUGCAUGACGUGGAGCAUAUCCCUGCUUCCAGUUGGGAACUCUGAUCCUGCAUCAAGGCUGAACCCUGACAAGUGUGCCUUGUGAGGAGUGUCUCUGAGGGGACAGUGGUGGGCUGUCUAUGGAGUGAUCACUCAGCAUUUCCAGGCCCUGUAGCAAGAGCGCUGAGCUCUGACAGCACUUUAGAAUGUACAAGACCUUUUACCGCUGAGUACACCAGGUGGCCGAGCGGGUGGAGGCCCUGGGCCAGUUUGUCAUGAAGACCAGAAGGACCCUCAAAGGCCACGGGAACAAAGUCCUGUGCAUGGAUUGGUGCAAAGACAAGCGGAGAAUCGUGAGCUCCUCACAGGAUGGGAAGGUGAUUGUCUGGGAUUCCUUCACUACGAACAAGGAGCACGCGGUCACCAUGCCUUGCACCUGGGUGAUGGCGUGUGCUUACGCGCCAUCGGGAUGCGCCAUUGCUUGUGGUGGUCUGGAUAAUAAGUGCUCUGUGUAUCCACUGACAUUCGACAAGAACGAGAACAUGGCCGCCAAGAAGAAGUCUGUUGCUAUGCACACCAACUACCUGUCUGCCUGCAGCUUCACCAACUCUGACAUGCAGAUUCUGACAGCCAGCGGGGAUGGCACCUGCGCCCUGUGGGAUGUGGAAAGUGGACAGCUGUUACAGAGCUUCCAUGGGCACGGGGCUGACGUCCUCUGCUUGGACCUGGCCCCCUCGGAAACAGGAAACACCUUCGUGUCUGGGGGUUGUGACAAGAAGGCCAUGGUGUGGGACAUGCGCUCUGGCCAGUGCGUGCAAGCCUUUGAAACUCAUGAAUCGGAUGUCAACAGUGUUCGGUACUACCCCAGUGGGGAUGCUUUUGCUUCGGGGUCGGAUGAUGCCACGUGUCGCCUCUAUGACCUGAGGGCAGAUAGAGAGGUCGCCAUCUACUCCAAGGAGAGCAUCAUAUUUGGCGCCUCGAGUGUGGACUUCUCCCUCAGUGGUCGCCUGCUUUUUGCUGGGUACAAUGACUAUACCAUCAAUGUCUGGGAUGUUCUCAAGGGCUCCCGGGUCUCCAUCCUGUUUGGACAUGAAAACCGCGUCAGCACUCUGCGAGUGUCUCCUGAUGGGACAGCAUUCUGCUCGGGAUCAUGGGAUCACACCCUAAGAGUUUGGGCAUAAUCUUCUGACAGCGUUCAAGAAUGUGUGUCCUCUCGUGUAGAUAUGACUUCUCCAUGAGCCCAGGGCUUCCCACAGGUUAGCUUAUGGGAGCAACCUCACAGCUCGGCACUCACUCACCCCGUCCAGUGUCUCCAUGAAAUCUGCCCCCUCCCUGGAAACACUCGGAUAGGCCGUGGCACUUCAACUGGACCUUCAAGCCCUUCUGUCAUCUCAAAAACUCUGCUAAGUUCUGUCUGUUUUUGAAAUUAUUCCAGCCAAUGGAAUUUCACAUUUAUCAGCAUUUAAAAUGUCCCUCGUUGUUUCCUUGGAUCUAGUCUGUCUUCAGAGCACUUUAAACUGUACCUUUUCUUGGCGUGGACUGUGGCUUCUAGAACCAUCCUUGGGAUGUGCCGGUUAUGUGGACUGUAAGAAAGAAUGUUCACUGGUCUGUAAUAGAAGGAAAUUCUAUUUCCAGAUGUAACUACACAGAACCACUUUUUAAAACUGUUUUUAGGUAAAAUUAUCUUUUUUCAACCUGUUCAGUUGUCUUUUUUAAGAUAAUGUUUGGUUUUGUUUUGGGGGAUGAGGGUCUGGGGGAGUCUUUAGAAAUGAAACGGACACAUGCAGAAAACAGAAAAAAAAAACUGUAUAAUUCACUUGUGAUCGAUGGCAGUCUAGGCUGAGCAUCCCCGACACUUGAGGGCAAAACAGGUUGCCAUUCCUAGCACAAAUACUGCAGAGAGCAAACAGAACCUUCUGGCAUGGGAAGACAGGCCACUAAACUGAUUUAAAAGCCUGCUAGUAGUGUUAUCAGAAAUGCCUAAGAUAAACUGUGUGUUGUCCCUAUAAAUUAUAUUCGAAUGUCCUGCACAGCAGUUGUACUGACACAGACUGGUGGGCAGGCCAUGAAUAAUAAUAAUGUCUUUGUUAUCCAAGGGGUAUCUUGUCUUUAUUUGAAUCAUAAAUUCCUUCUAGAUGCG